rnacentral:tRNA from 1 species
GGGAGUAGCUCAGUGGUAGAGCAUCAGCUUCCCAAGUUGAGGGUCGCGGGUUCGAGCCCCGUCUCCC